rnacentral:rRNA from 1 species
AGCACUUCGGUGCGAGUACAGCGGCGGACGGGUGAGUAACGCGUAGGAAUCUACCCGGUAGUGGGGGACAACUUGUGGAAACGCAAGCUAACACCGCAUACGCCCCAAGGGGGAAAGCGGGGGAUCUUCGGACCUCGCGCUAUCGGAUGAGCCUGCGUAGGAUUAGCUAGUUGGUGGGGUAAAGGCUCACCAAGGCGACGAUCCUUAGCUGGUCUGAGAGGAUGAUCAGCCACACUGGGACUGAGACACGGCCCAGACUCCUACGGGAGGCAGCAGUGGGGAAUAUUGCGCAAUGGGGGCAACCCUGACGCAGCCAUGCCGCGUGUGUGAAGAAGGCCUUAGGGUUGUAAAGCACUUUCAAUUGGGAAGAAAAGUUGCAGGUUAAUAACCUGCAGCCCUGACAUUACUUUAGAAGAAACACCGGCUAACUCCGUGCCAGCAGCCGCGGUAAUACGGAGGGUGCGAGCGUUAAUCGGAAUUACUGGG